rnacentral:rRNA from 1 species
AGAGUUUGAUCCUGGCUCAGAACGAACCCUGGCGGCGUGCUUAACACAUGCAAGUCGCGUGCGCAAUUCCCGUAACAAUACGGGGAUGGGCGCACGGCGCACGGGUGCGUAACACGUGGGCAAUCUGCCCUCCGAUGGGGAAUAACCCCGCGAAAGCGGGGCUAAUACCGCAUAAAAUUCCUUGAACUCUGGUUCGAGGAUUCAAAGCAGUAAUGCGUCGGAGGAGGAGCCCGCGCCCGAUUAGCUAGUUGGCAGGGUAAUGGCCUACCUAGGCAAUGAUCGGUAGCUGGUCUGAGAGGAUGAUCAGCCACACUGGAACUGAGACACGGUCCAGACUCCUACGGGAGGCGGCAAUGGGGAAUCUUGCACAAUGGGCUAAAGCCUGAUGCACCGACGCCCCGUGGGGGAUGAAGCUUCUCGGAGUGUAAACCCCUUUCGCCUGGGACGAAUGCCUCGCAAGAGGAGUGACCGUACCAGGAUAACAAGCCCCGGCUAACUACCUGCCAGCAGCCGCGGUAAGACAUAAGGGGCCAGCGUUGUUCGGAAUUACUGGGUGUAAAGGGUUCGUAGGCGGUGUGGCAAGUUGGGAGUGAAAUCUCUGGGCUCAACCCAGAGGCUGCUUCCAAAACUGCUGUGCUUGAGUGUGGGAGAGGCGCGUGGAAUUGCAGGUGUAGCGGUGAAAUGCGUACAUCUCUGCAGGAACACCCGUGGCGAAUGCGGCGCGCUGGACCACAACUGACGCUGAGGAUCGAAAGCUAGGGGAGCAAUAGGAUUACAUACCCUGGUAUCCUAGCCCUAAAGAUCAGGACUUGGGGUGCCGCCAG